AGGGAAAGGCGAAAAGAACCCCGGCGAGGGGAGUGAAAAAGAACCUGAAACCGUGUACGUACAAGCAGUGGGAGCUCGCUUAGGCGUGUGACUGCGUACCUUUUGUAUAAUGGGUCAGCGACUUAUAUUCUGUAGCAAGGUUAACCGAAUAGGGGAGCCGAAGGGAAACCGAGUCUUAACUGGGCGUUAAGUUGCAGGGUAUAGACCCGAAACCCGGUGAUCUAGCCAUGGGCAGGUUGAAGGUUGGGUAACACUAACUGGAGGACCGAACCGACUAAUGUUGAAAAAUUAGCGGAUGACUUGUGGCUGGGGGUGAAAGGCCAAUCAAACCGGGAGAUAGCUGGUUCUCCCCGAAAGCUAUUUAGGUAGCGCCUCGUGAAUUCAUCUCCGGGGGUAGAGCACUGUUUCGGCAAGGGGGUCAUCCCGACUUACCAACCCGAUGCAAACUGCGAAUACCGGAGAAUGUUAUCACGGGAGACACACGGCGGGUGCUAACGUCCGUCGUGAAGAGGGAAACAACCCAGACCGCCAGCUAAGGUCCCAAAGUCAUGGUUAAGUGGGAAACGAUGUGGGAAGGCCCAGACAGCCAGGAUGUUGGCUUAGAAGCAGCCAUCAUUUAAAGAAAGCGUAAUAGCUCACUGGUCGAGUCGGCCUGCGCGGAAGAUGUAACGGGGCUAAACCAUGCACCGAAGCUGCGGCAGCGACGCUUAUGCGUUGUUGGGUA
rnacentral:rRNA from 1 species